rnacentral:rRNA from 1 species
GAUGAACGCUGGCGGCGUGCCUAAUACAUGCAAGUCGAGCGAACAGACGAGGAGCUUGCUCCUCUGACGUUAGCGGCGGACGGGUGAGUAACACGUGGAUAACCUACCUAUAAGACUGGGAUAACUUCGGGAAACCGGAGCUAAUACCGGAUAAUAUAUUGAAUCGCAUGGUUCAAUAGUGAAAGACGGUUUUGCUGUCACUUAUAGAUGGAUCCGCGCCGCAUUAGCUAGUUGGUAAGGUAACGGCUUACCAAGGCAACGAUGCGUAGCCGACCUGAGAGGGUGAUCGGCCACACUGGAACUGAGACACGGUCCAGACUCCUACGGGAGGCAGCAGUAGGGAAUCUUCCGCAAUGGGCGAAAGCCUGACGGAGCAACGCCGCGUGAGUGAUGAAGGUCUUCGGAUCGUAAAACUCUGUUAUUAGGGAAGAACAAAUGUGUAAGUAACUAUGCACGUCUUGACGGUACCUAAUCAGAAAGCCACGGCUAACUACGUG